AGUGCUCCACUCUCUUGGUUAGUGCUCCACUCUCUUGGUUAGUGCUCCACUCUCUCGGUUAGUGCUCCACUCUUGCUCUCGGUUAGUGCUCCACUCUCGCUCUCGGUUAGUGCUCCACUCUCGCUCUCGGUUAGUGCUCCACUCUCUUGGUUAGUGCUCCAUUCUCUCGGUUAGUGCUCCACUCUCGCUCUCAGUCAGUGCUCCACUCUUGCUCUUGGUUAGUGCUCCACUCUUGCUCUUGGUUAGUGCUCCACCCUCUCAGUCAGUGCUCCACUCUCACUCUUAGUUAGUGCUCCACUCUUGCUCUUGGUUAGUGCUCCACUCUCGCUCUCGGUUAGUGCUCCACUCUCGCUCUCGGUUAGUGCUCCACUCUCUUGGUUAGUGCUCCAUUCUCUCGGUUAGUGCUCCACUCUCACUCUCAGUCAAUGCUCCACUCUUGCUCUUGGUUAGUGCUCCACUCUUGCUCUUGGUUAGUGCUCCACCCUCUCAGUCAGUGCUCCACUCUCACUCUUAGUUAGUGCUCCACUCUUGCUCUUGGUUAGUGCUCCACUCUCACUCUUAGUUAGUGCUCCACUCUUGCUCUUGGUUAGUGCUCCACUCUCGCUCUUGGUUAGUGCUCCACUCUCGCUCUUGGUUAGUGCUCCACUCUCACUCUUGGUUAGUGCUCCACUCUUGCUCUCGGUUAGUGUUCCCCUGGGUUUGCCUUCAAAGCUCCUUGCAUCUCAAGUCUAGACACUGUCCUGGAGAGCGGGUUUCUUCCCUUUGCUUUAACUGUCCCUUCCCUACAGUGAGUCAGAGGCUUCCUUCCCCAGACCCGUGUCUCCCUCGGGCUUCAAAACUUUGCCUUCUAGCUUGAACCAAAUCUUUUCCUCACUAAAGGCAUCACCACCAAACCUUUCUCCUAAGCUCGGUGUUCCUCUUUUCAUCUGGUUUCAGGUGGGCCAUAGUAUCUAUGUGCUUCCGUUGUCUUCCUCACACAUGUUGUGGGCUGGGUUGGCAGAACAGUUGCUUUCACCACACUGUCCCUGGCCUUAGAAGUCACUAGUGAUGAGCUGCUGGGCCAUGGAUACUGGACACUGGGAGCACCCAUCAGGCUCUGUGUUUGAUACCCAGGACCACCACAAAGCCUUCCUGUUUUUCAGUAGGCUAUUGCUGAAUCCCAGCUUCACCUCCACAGCCUCUGGCCUUUACAGAGAAACCUUCAUCUCAUCACCCAGAUAAAGUAUAUUCCAACCCAGGGCAGUUACUCCUUCAACACGCCGAUGUCUUUGCCUUUCUUGCCUCCUUUAGCACUGGGUCCCUCCCUUCUUUAAAGCACUUAGCCCUCUCCUCUUUGUCUCCCCUUUGUAAAACUCAUUCCUAUUCUUGCCCAUUGGUUUUAGACAGACUUCUAUCUACAAAGCUGCCAUUCCUAUGCUAGCCAGAGUUCCUGCCCACCCCUACACCCUCUGUCUUGUAUAUGUUCCCAAGGCCUAGUCACAUACCUGGCUCUCCUGUUCCAUUAAACUCCUGUACUGGUCUAGCCACAUCUCAUCCACUCUCGAAGCCCUAAACUGCCUUGCCCAGUUGCUGACAUUUAAUAUAUGCCGGCCACCAUUCCCUGCAUUUAUGUUGGUAGUGGGAAUUGAACUCUGGUCUUCAUGCUUGCGAGGGAAGCACUCGUGCCACCGGUGUUCAACUAGCGGACAGAGAAUACAUAUCCAAUGAGGUCAUCUCCAACAGCUUCUCUCCUUCUUCCCAUGCUAGGAUUUGGUUACUAAGGCUCACAAGUGGAACACAGAAACAAAUGGGAAAUUCUUCUGAUGGAACUUUGUGGAACACCGGGGAGGUAGGAAGAAGACAUUUCAUAGGACUCACACUACAGGCCUAGCAUAUUUGGGGGACAGCUGAAUGAAGGGAACGGGAAGUAGUAUUCCUUAGCACCAUGGAAAACUGUUACAGUUGCCCAUUAAGAAAGAAAAGGCUCGGGCUGGAGAGAUGACUCAGCCGUUAAAGGCUAGGCUCACAACCAAAUAUAUAAGAAAGAAAAGGCUCGUGGUGCUAGUCUGCAUUCCUGAGUUGGCUAGGGAAUAGUGUAUGUGGAACACAGGUGAUCUUGAGGGUCCCUAUGCCUUCUGGUUAAGCCCAAGAGAAAAGCACAACAGUACAAUUACAGGCUCAGGAAUGGCUUGGACUUUUCAGAGAUGCGGGCUUGGGUCACCUCCACCAAAUGAUCCCCAAAGAAGGCAUUUGUGGAGAGUCAAAAGUAUACACAAUGGGUAGAGGUAGGAAUAUGUGAUUACCAGUGGUGACCAUCUGACCGGUUGCAGAACCCAUGAUUCUAGCUGCCCUUCCUUCUUUUGCUGUACGUAUAUCCGUGUGUGCGAACACAGUAAAGGUCCCCGCUUCUUCCACCCCCUGUUUUCAUGAGAUGCACUGACUGUAUCAGAGCCUACACCUGAGCAUUGCUCAGUUCCCACCAUUGUUCUUCACACCCAGGGACUCGGGCUUGAGGCUAACACCUGCCAGUCAACACGUCUUCUGGGGUAGAGCGUAGUCCAUUUCUAGCUGUGUGUUCACUGCAGCUUGGAAGCACAGGGAAGCAGAGUGACAGCCACGCCACUCUCUUCGUUUGAAAAGUGCUCGAAAGGGAUCCUCAGAGUGAGAAGAAGCAGGCUUGGAGUUGUUGGUUUCAUUUGUUAAUGUGACUGGAGGACAGAUAGUGCCCAAAUAGUUGGGCAAGCAUUAUUCUGAGUGUGUCUAUGAAGUGUCUGGAGACGACUGGAGCAUCUAAAUCUCCCUCCCUGCCGUAAUUUACAUAAAGAGUGCCCAGCGCAGCCAACCUUUAAAGGAUGGUCGUCAGAUCAUUGAAAGCGUGCCUGCCAGAGUCCCAGCUUCUCUUCCUCCAUGUCCUAGUGGUGAUGAGCAACUGUCUCUACUUCCGUUCCUGUCCUCGUGUUCUGCUGGUCACAGUAUCCAGUGCAUCAGAGUCAGCCAUCCAAGCACCGAAACCUCCAAAACCAUGAGACAAACGUACCAUUCCUUCCUGUAAGUUGAUUCACUCCAGGUCUUUGUUAGAGUAACGAGAAACUGGCGCACUCUCUAAUACACACCCUCCUCAUCCACAGAACCAAAAGCUGACCCUCCAAAAGAAGACCAUGUUCCUCCAGUCUGACCACCUUUGUGCUGCGAUAUCACUCAUUUCCUAGUGCCUGGCUCAGAUGGAAAUGUUAGCUUUCCUUGGAUCUGGAACCUAUUAGUUUUCGGACUUAAACUGCACCGUCAGCUUCUUCCAAAGUCUCUAGCCUGCUGUCUCUUUUGCCAAAGAACUCUGACUAAGACUGGAACCAACAUUCCUUUUCAAUGAAAUAUAAACAGUCAUUAUUAACCUUUAGGUGAGAAGAAGACAUUAAGCUGAAAGACAGGGAGUGGGCAUCCUGUGUAAGGUCUUCAGACGUGUACUGUAAUGGCCGUUCCUGGUUGUCAACUUGACUGCAUCUGGAAUGAACUACCGCCCAGAAUUGGAGGCUCACCUGUGAUCCAGAUCUCGAGGCUGGAAGACACAGGCUUCUGACCUGGAUCUUGACAUAGAGAUCUUGAGGCAUAGUGGCCAUGAAAAUCUUAGGCCUGAGCAAGGAAGUAUAUGCCUUUAAUCCCAGGAGACUAAGGCAAAGAAACUUUUGAGUUCAAGUCAGCCAAAAAGCAAGUCCCACAUCUAGGCUUGGUGGUGCACACCUUCAACCUGGGCCACGCCUUCUGCUGGAGGCCUACAUAAGGACAUUGGAAGGAGGAGGACUCACUCUUCUUUGCUGCUUGCACUAACUGGCCAGCACAUCUGUUGAACCUACUUCUUCAGAAGUCCAGCUGAAACACCCAGCCUCGUGGGACUGAGUAACUACUGGAUUCUUGGAUUUCCAUUCACAGCUGACCAUUGUUGGACUGCAGACUAUAAGUCAUCACAAUAAUUUCCCUCAAUAUAGAGACAUUCCAUAUGUUCUGUGACUGCAGAGAACCUUGGCUAAGGCAUGAGCUCACUAUGAUGUGUCUGGGGAAUGAGUGGUACACACACACCAGAAUCUACUUCAACUAGGUGUCUGUCUGUAGUCGCACCUCUAGGAAAUCUUAUGCGUGAACUAGAAGUAUGUAAAAAUAAAGAUACCUCUUGUUCCAGCUGAACUCCUAAGACCCAUAAGCAGAGAUUUCAAUUAAUGAAGUCUGACGUGAAGAAGGUCUCCCAUUGCUUUUUUUUCUCCCCACUGUCAGGCCUUCAGGGGCCUCAGCCUAGUGAUGGCUCAGUUGGCUAAGUGUUUACCAUGCAGGUAUGAAGACCUUAGUCCAGACCCCCAGAACUAACUUAGAAAAAUCUGGGCGUGGUGAACUGUGCUAUCACAGUGUAGGAGGGUGGAGACAUGGUGAUUCCUGGGGUUCAGUGUCUGCCCAGCCUGACAGCUUAUGUGGUUCCAAGCAAGUGGGAGACCUUGUCUCUAAGGCAUGGGAAACACGCUUUUAAAUCCAACAGAAGCAGGCAGAUCUCUAUGAGUUUGAGGCCAGCCUGGAUUACACAGCAGUUCCAGGACAGCCAGGGCUACUCUAUGGCUUUUUGUCUGUCUGUCUAUCUGUUUUUAAGUUGAUAGUGUCUCAGAAAGACCCCUGAGGCUGACUGCUGUUCACCUUGCAGUUCUCUGUGCUGAGACCUCUGCACUGUGCACACACAUGGCCCCCACACACGAGCCUUCAGUUAGAUGUCUCUAGUUGUCUUCAGAAGGAAAUUGGCCCAGGUCACCUGAGUCACUUCUGUCACUGUUGUGGGAACCAGCUUUCCCUUGACGGUCCAGGGGAUGCUCCCCUGGCCCUGCCACCGUUGCAUUCUGGGAAGAACUUGAAAUUCAUUGCUCCUGUGUGUGUGUGUGUGUGUGUGUGUGUGUGUGUGUGUGUGUGUGUGUGUGUAAAUGACUAUUAUACAAUGGUAUCCAGAAAAGAAGUUAUGCUUAAUGUUAGUGUUUUGUUUUCAUUUUUUUUUUUAACAAAUUACUUGGCUUUUCUAAAGCUGCGGGUAGGAUAAGUGUUUCAUGAGAUUUCAAUUUACAAAAGGCUUAGAUUUCAAAAGACUACAAUGUUGCUUUCAAGUUCAGAGCAGUUAAACAAGGAGCCAUUGUCUUCUCUUUUAUGGGAAGUUAAGUAAGGAAAACCGUCUGACGGUUUGGCUGUGACUCAUCCCUCUCUGCGACACUGGAGUCCUCCGGCUUUCUUUUUAUUUAAAAAAAAAUGUAUCUCUCCUUUUAUUUCCACUGUAAUUGUACACAGUGAACACUAGAUGGUCAAAGGUCAUGAGAUGGACAGGUGCAGAAUGGGCCUUUAUCCUAAUGUCUCGAGGCCAUGGAGCCAGCAGGCAAGAGGAUCUGAAUUCAAGGCACAUACCUCACAUUAAAAAGAAAAGGCAGGUGUGGUAGGUGUGUGCAAGCCCAACGAGGAUUGGUGGAGAGGGGCAGGUACCUGGCUCACUGUCCAGCCUCCCCAGCUUAGCUGUCAAGCUUUAGGCUAUGAGAGACCCAGCCUCACACACCAAAGCAGGUAGAGUUAGGGGACUAACACCUAGGGUGACCCCCCACCUUUAAGAACAUACCUGUGCACACUCACAUCCCCACAUGCAAGUGCAUACCUGUGUGCGCUCAUGUUCUCAGAUCUCUUUCCUUAGUUGAAAUAGCUAUAAAUUGAUAGGAACCGACAAAGGUAAUAUAGCCUGAUGUACCCUCAACCGGCUUCCCCUAAUGACAGCCUUCACAUAAGCAGAUAUUCAAGUAGGUGGCAGCCCUCGAUGAGUCUUUGUGAUUGCUGCAUGCACCCCUCUCUUAGAUUGUGUGUGUGUGUGUGUGUGUGUGUGCACAUGUGUGAAAGUGUAUGUUUAUGUGUGUGUAUGUGUGUAUGUGAGAGAGUGUGUGUGUAUGUGUGUGUUUGUGCAUGCAUGUGUGUAUGUGGGAGUGUGUGUGUAUACGUGUGAAUGUGUGUGUUUGUGUGUACACAUGUGUGUAUGUGUGUGAGAGUGUGUGAGUGUGUGUAUGUGUGUGAAAGUAUGUGUGUAUAUGUGUGUGAGAGUGUGUGAGUGUGUGUAUGUGUAUAUGUGUGUGAAAGUAUGUAUGUAUAUGUGUGUGUGUGAGAGAGAGUGUGUGUAUAUGUGAGAUUGUGUGUAUGUAUAUGAGUGUGUGUGAGUGUGUGUAUAUACGUGUGUAUAUGUGUGUUUGUGUGCAUAUGUGUGUGAAUGUGUGUAUGUGUGUGAGUGUGUAUGUGUGUGAGUGUGUGUUGUAUGUGUGUGUGUGUGUAUACACUACCUAGAGUAGAUUUGGACAGCCCCCAGCAUGUCUUUCACACUGCAUCAUCAUGGAGGAGCCUUCAUGUUUCUGUCUUAGAUCUGCACACCACCAUCUUUGUUUCAUUGCUACCACCAAUCACUGCAUCUCAACCACUCUGUCCUUGUAAGGAUGCCUGCCCUGCAGAAAUGGAACCCAACAGUAUAUGUCUAGUGAGGUGUGUUGUUUUCAGUAGACAACACGUCCCUGAGUCCCAGCAGAAGUGAUAUUUCAAUUUAUUUUACAUCUUUCCUUCUACUUUCCACUUUGGAAGCUUUUCUUUUCUUUUUUUUUCAUUUUCUUUUUCAUAGAAUGAAAGUUUUAGACCCUAGGAAUAUCAUAAGUAAUGAAAAACCAUAAGCAGCUCUAAUGGCGUGUUUCUAAUGGCCUACUACUAGACCCUCCUGCUCAGAGUCAGUUACAAUAGAUCGCCCCUCCCCAACAUCCCUUUUUCUAUCUGAACAGCUUAGAUCAGGUCAUCUGAAGGCCAUGGAGAUAAGCCUAAUCCAAUAAGGACUAAGUCACAAGCUGAUUCCACGAAACUCGAACGAUUGGCUUUGCUUGAGGCAAUGAUUGUGUCACUCCCCAAUCACUAAGAAUCAUGGGAUGGAUAACUUUGUAAUCACAUGCAUAUACCUGGCAUCUACAUUUAAACAGAAUUUUUUCCACUCUUAGCUCAAGUUGAUGACUUCCAAGAUAAGAAUUGAAUUCGUUGACUGUAAAUCGUUUCCGUCUCUUCUUCAUCUUCUCCUCGUUGAAGUGUGGUAUAGAAGCUGGUGCAUGGGGAGCUUGGCACAGCUCGUUCUGUUCUCAUGAGCAGCCUGGAUUUCCACUUAACGCUCUCUGGUGGAGAACCAAGGUCCUGGAGAGCAAGCCCGUCCAUGACUGUUGAGGUGUUUGACGCAGAAACGAAGGCAUCGGAACUGCUUGCGUCAGCUUCGUGUUUUUAUAAUCGUUUGGAUAUUUUCAUCUGGAUGGGCUUGUGUGGGUCCUAAUUGUAGAGACCUCUUAAAUAAAGGCAUCAAGAGUC